rnacentral:rRNA from 1 species
AACGUAGGAGGCAAGCGUUAUCCGGAUUCACUGGGCGUAAAGCGCGUGCAGGUGGCGCGGUAAGUUGGGUGUGAAAUCUCCCGGCUCAACUGGGAGAGGUCAUUCAAUACUACCGUGCUUGAGAGCAGAAGAGGAAGAUGGAAUUCCCGGUGUAGUGGUGAAAUGCGUAGAUAUCGGGAGGAACACCAGUGGCGAAGGCGGCUCUCUGGGGACGGUACUGACGCUGAGACGCGAAAAGCGUGGGGGAGCGAACAGG